AUUGAACGCUGGCGGCAUGCUUUACACAUGCAAGUCGAACGGCAGCGCGGGCUUCGGCCUGGCGGCGAGUGGCGAACGGGUGAGUAAUGCAUCGGAACGUGCCCAGUAGUGGGGGAUAGCCCGGCGAAAGCCGGAUUAAUACCGCAUACGACCUGAGGGUGAAAGCGGGGGACCGAAAGGCCUCGCGCUAUUGGAGCGGCCGAUGUCGGAUUAGCUAGUUGGUGGGGUAAAGGCUUACCAAGGCGACGAUCCGUAGCUGGUCUGAGAGGACGAACAGCCAACACUGGACCUGAGACAGGGCCCGACUCCCAAGGGAGGGCAGAGUUGGGAAUUUUGGGAAAUGGGGGGCAACCUUGUCCCAGCCUGGCGCCGGGGGGAAGAAGGGCCUUCGGUUGUAAACCGCUUUUGUUCGGGAAGAAAUCCUCUGGGCUAAUACCCCGGGGGGAUGACGGUACCGGAAGAAUAAGCACCGGCUAACUACGUG
rnacentral:rRNA from 1 species